ensembl:lncRNA
AUGAAUCCUGCUGGUGUCACUGGGAGUGGUGGCACGGAGAGCCGGGCUCUGCCUCUCCCUGCCUGCAGAGCGAGGAUUUCUCCCCAAAAACCCGAAUUUCCCGGCAGAGGACACAGAGCGGCUCCUGGUGCCACAUCACCGGCACCCGGCGCCGCAGGGAGGUGGCACAGAGAGAGGUGGCACAAGGGAGGUGGCACAAAGGAGAUGGCACAAGGGAGGUGGCACAAAGGCUCCUUUGGAAGGGCUGGGCUGGGGCUUUGCGGAGGGACCCGCUGGAGUGUGCUGGCUCUGUCCCCUCCCUGUUCCCCCCUCGUCCCAUCCCCUCUGUCCCUCUCUGUCCCUCUAUUCCCUCUCUGUCCCUCUCUGUCUCUCUGUCCCUCUGUCCCCCGUCCCUCUCUGUCCCUCUCUGUCCCUCUCUGUCCCUCUGUCCCCCUCUGUCCCUCUCUGUCCCCCUGUCCCUCUGUCCCCCUGUCCCCCUGUCCCUCUGUCCCUCUAUCCCUCUCUGUCCCUCUGUCCCCCCCUGUCCCUCUAUCCCUCUCUGUCCCUCUGUCCCUCUGUCCCCUCUGUCCCUCUCUGUCCCCUCUGUCCCUCUCUGUCCCCCUGUCCCUCUCUGUCCCCUAUGUCCCCCUGUCCCCCCAUCCCUCUGUCCCCCUGUCCCUCUGUCCCCCUGUCCCCUCUGUCCCUCUCUGUCCCCCUGUCCCUCUCUGUCCCCCGUCCCUCUGUCCCUUUCUGUCCCCCUGUCCCUCUGUGUCCCUCUGUCCCUCUCUGUCCCCCUGUCCCUCUCUGUCCCCCCCUGUCCCCCCGCCGUCCGCCCUGUCCCUCUGUCUCUCUGUCCCUCUGUCCGUCCCUGUCCCCCCUGUCCCUCUCUGUCCCUCUCUGUCUCUCUAUCCCCCCCGUCCCUCUGUCCCUCUGUCCCCUCUGUCCCUCUGUCCCCCUGUCCGUCCCUCUGUCCGUCCCGCUCCCGCCGCCGCCGUGCCCGCGCCGCUGCCGCCCUCUGGUGGCCACGGGCCGGAAGCGCAGCCCGGCCUCAUCCCGCGGGCUGAUUUUGGCUCCGAAUUCCGUAAAUAA